rnacentral:ribozyme from 2 species
GGAGAGAGAAGUCAACCAGAGAAACACACCAACCCAUUGCACUCCGGGUUGGUGGUAUAUUACCUGGU